rnacentral:rRNA from 1 species
GACCUCAGUUCAGGUGAGAUUACCGGCUGAAUUUAAGCAUAUUACUAAGCCGAGGAAAAGAAACUAACAAGGAUUCCCCUAGUAGCAGCGAGCGAACAGGGAAGAGCCCAGCGCUGAAUCCCCCGGGCCUCGCUCGGCGGGAAAUGUAGCGUUUGGGAGGGCCCGUCAACACGGCGACUCGCUCACUGGUUCAAGUCCAACUUGAAUGGGGCCACACAGAGGGUGACAGGCCCGUAGAGCAGGAGCGGUUGUCGUGUGGGUCUCUCCUUAGAGUCGGUUUGCUUGAGAGUGCAGACUUAAGUGGGUGGUAAACUCCAUCUAAGGCUAAAUAUGACCACGAGACCGAUAGCACACAAGUACCGUGAGGGAAAGGUGAAAAGAACUUUGAAGAGAGAGUUCAAGAGUACGUGAAACUGAAGUGGUGUAAACGGACGAGUUCGAAAAGUCCGAAUGGUGAGAUUCAAGCUUACCGUGCCGGUGGCCCUCGGGUUCAGAUGGCGUCGUCAGCUCGGGCUUCGGUUCGGGUCAUACGGCGUCACUCGUCCUGGGGGUAUCUGUCUGGUGCGGUGGGCUGCACUUCUCGCCUAGUAGGACGUCGCGACCCGUUGGGAUGUUCCGUUCACUGGCCCUCGGUGGAGCCCGCGCCGGAGCGUGGCCUUGUGCCGCGUUGCUGUUUGCACGGACCCGGGGUGACCUGAUCGGCGCCCGACGGUAUCAAAGCUUGGGAAGAGGCCGCACAGAGGAUGCGUUCGAUGGCCGUUUCGGCCUACACUCGGACAGGCCUGCACCCGGUCAG